GACGAACGCUGGCGGCGUGCCUAAUACAUGCAAGUCGAGCGGACUUUCAAGAAGCUUGCUUUUUGAAAGUUAGCGGCGGACGGGUGAGUAACACGUGGGCAACCUGCCUGCAAGACGGGGAUAACUCCGGGAAACCGGGGCUAAUACCGGAUAAUAUCUUCCUUCGCAUGAAGGAAGGUUGAAAGGCGGCGCAAGCUGCCGCUUGCAGAUGGGCCCGCGGCGCAUUAGCUAGUUGGUGAGGUAACGGCUCACCAAGGCGACGAUGCGUAGCCGACCUGAGAGGGGGAGCGGACACACUGGGACUGAGACACGGCCCAGACGCCUACGGGAGGCAGCAGUAGGGAGUCUUCCGCAAUGGACGAAAGUCUGACGGAGCAACGCCGCGUGAGCGAAGAAGGUCUUCGGAUCGUAAAGCUCUGUUGUCAGGGAAGAACAAGUACCGUUCGAACAGGGCGGUACCUUGACGGUACCUGACCAGAAAGCCACGGCUAACUACGUG
rnacentral:rRNA from 1 species